AUAGGAGCAGUACCGUGAGGGAAAGGUGAAAAGGACCCCGGGAGGGGAGUGAAAGAGAACCUGAAACCUUGUGCUUACAAGCAGUCAAAGCACGUUAACGUGUGAUGACGUACUCUUUGUAGAACGGUCCGGCGAGUUAUAGUAACGAGCAAGCUUAAGGUAUUGAGUACCGGAGGCGAAGCGAGAGCGAGUCUGAAUAGGGCGUAAAGUUCGUUGCCAUAGACCCGAAACCGGGUGACCUAUCCAUGAGCAGGCUGAAGUGAGAGUAAAAUCUCAUGGAGGGCCGAACCGACCCCCGUUGCAAUGGUGGCGGAUGACUUGUGGAUAGCGGAGAAAUUCCAAUCGAACUCGGAGAUAGCUGGUUCUCCCCGAAAUAGCUUUAGGGCUAGCGUUAUGUUAGAUUACCGGAGGUAAAGCACUGAAUGGUGGCGGGGCCGAUAAGGUUACCAAGACCUAUCAAACUCUGAAUGCCGGAUAAUUGAUGCAUAGCAGUCAGACAGCGUGAGAUAAGUUUCGUUGUCAAAAGGGAAACAGCCCAGACCCACAGCUAAGGUCCCAAAUUCAUGCUAAGUGGAAAACGAUGUGGAAUUGCGAAAACAACCAGGAUGUUGGCUUAGAAGCAGCCACUCAUUAAAAGAGUGCGUAAUAGCUCACUGGUCGAGUGACUCUGCGCGGAAAAUAUAACGGGGCUAAGCAUGAAACCGAAGCUUGGGCUUGUACUUAGGUACAGGGGUAGGGGAGCGUCGAGUAUAGGGUGAAGUCAGAGCGGAAGCACUGGUGGACUGUACUCGAGUGAGAAUGCCGGAAUGAGUAGCGAGAAUUAUGUGGGAAUCAUAAUGGCCGGAAAUCUAAGGUUUCUUGGGGAAGGUUCGUCCGCCCAAGGUAAGUCGGGAGCUAAGCUCAGGCCGAGAGGCGUAGGCGAUGCACAUACGGUAGAAAUUCCGUAACCACCGAAACUUAAACAGAGGGACACUUCGAAAUAGCGGAACCCGGGCGUUGGUUGACCCGGGCGAAAGGGAGCGAAAUUAGAGUAGCGAAGUCCGCGAUGUUCGGAGGCGAGAAAAGCUCUGAGGUAUGCUAAGGUGCCCGUACCGCAAACCGACACAGGUAGAUGAGGAGAGAAUCCUAAGGCCAACGGGAGAAGGGUUGUUAAGGAACUCGGCAAAUUGACCCCGUAACUUCGGAAGAAGGGGAGCCCCCUACGGGGGGUCGCAGAGAAAUGGCCCAAGCAACUGUUUACCAAAAACACAGGUCUAUGCUAAAUCGAAAGAUGACGUAUAUGGGCUGACGCCUGCCCGGUGCCGGAAGGUUAAGAGGAGAUGUCAGGCAACGAAGCAUUGAAUUUAAGCCCCGGUAAACGGCGGCCGUAACUAUAACGGUCCUAAGGUAGCGAAAUUCCUUGUCAGGUAAGUUCUGACCCGCACGAAUGGCGUAAUGAUUUGGGCACUGUCUCAACAGCCCGCCCGGCGAAAUUGUAGUACUGGUGAAGAUGCCAGUUACCCGCAACUAGACGAA
rnacentral:rRNA from 1 species